UGAGGAAUGGUCGUGUGAUGAUUUCGUUGUAAUUUUUGGAGGAUUUGGCUAGAGUGGUAACCCAAUUCUUUCGUAGAUCUGUUGGAUUCGUCUGUGCUCUAGGCUUUGGAGCAGAGCUGUGAUGAUUGGUUGUGAGAUGUUGUAGGUUGAGAUCAUGUAAAGAGUUGUAAAUUCUGCUCUAACAUUUCCGUUGAUCAGGUUGCUUUUGUC
rnacentral:lncRNA from 1 species